UGCCACCUUCCACACAGAACAUGUUUUGUUUCAGUGGGAGUAUAUUUGCUGCAAGCAUGUAUUUAAUGCUUGAAAUAAUUGUUGGAGCUGUUACAAAGUCUGAUAAAAAAAGGAAAGCAGCAUCACUUUCAUGCAAAUCUGACAGCCUUGGCAGGAGUUUAAUUCUAUAAUGCUUGUGGUAAAAGAAAAAUCCAUUUAGGUGAUACAGAUUCUAAAACACCCACCCCAGGGAGUACUCUCAAGGACUCUCAAAACGUAAAGGCUGAAACUGUUUGGGUAAUGCAGAGCUAUGAAUUUUCUUACAAUGUAAAAAGUUUAAAAAACAGCAUUCAUUUUCUUUGAUUUGUUCUGUCUUCUCAGCAGCAUGUCUCAAGGACAGCACGUGAAAGGAAUAGUUUACUGGGAACAGGUACAGUAUUGACAAAAAAUGGAUUCAUGCAAAACAAAAAACUGCAUUCUUCCUACAGAAACUGCAAUUUCAUGUUCUUUCUGAAGACAUUACAGAAAAACAGAGUGAUAUUUGAAGAUUUUCAGCCCCCAACUAAUGUGAAUAAAUUCCUAACCUCAUGGGACUGGUUUAACCAUUGGAAUUUAUUGUAAAGGCUCUGAACCUAAUUUUUUAUUUAUCUAUUGCGUGCCAUGGGGUAUUUUGAAAGUAAGUGGUGAGUGCAAUGGAAAACAAUGUGAAGUGACCACAGCCAGUCAUCCAAACCCCUGAAGCUUUGCCCAUUGACUUCUGUCCCUGUUGCCAGUUCCUGUGAGCAGGAAUGUCCCACUUUAGUCAUUUCCUGAGCGUUUGUCUGGUCUGCAAGGCAAGCUGAGUGUCUUGGUUUAGCCACUCACUGCAGACCUUUCCAUUCAUUUAAAGACCAUACCUGAACUGUUUUUCACAAGACUUUCUCUGUUUGAGCUCUUCAUAGUGUCCUUGAUCGUGAAAGGGCUCUAUACUAUUAAAACUUCAAAGUGAAUAAUGAAGUACUAAUGAUAAAACAUGAUUAACACCUUCUACCUCACAUGUGGUAGCUUUCAUCUGACCUUUACUCAAAAUUGUUUUGCCUCAUUUUUUAUACCAUCAUUAAUCUGCUGAGUUUCAAAACAUUUGCAUGAGGUAGAUGAUAAUAUAAUUUGCAGACAAGGAAAAUAAGGUACAGAUGCACCUCCUCCUGGGAAUUACCAGUAACUCAGCUACCAGAGCUGCUGUUAACAAGGGAGGUUUUACAAAAUUUCCUGAGGGAAUAAAAAUACUAAGGGAGGACUUGUCUAUGAGUCACAGGAGGAAUCAGGUUUUUAAACCAGGAGCUUUGUUACACCUCCAUGUACUAACCUUAGGCAGAGCUACCACCACAAUUUAAUUGCUCAAAUAAAAUUAUUAUUCUUUUCCAAAAUAAAUAUCAUAUGGCUUUUUUCCAAGUGCAGCAGUAAUUAUUUUACUUCUUCCUACACAGAAAUGUUUAAAAAGUAUGCAAUCAUUUCUUAUCUGAAGCAAGAUUUCAUUUAAGAAACCAUGUUCACUAUUCAUUUUUUUUCCUUUUCUUUUGUAAUCCAGAUAUUGACCUUCCAAUGGUACAAUAGCUAAGCUGAAGCUUUGAAAUAUAGUUACAGAGAGUUGGGCAAUAACAACCUCUUUGGUUCUACUCUUUUGGUUUGGGUUACAUUUGUAUGCUUUUAAUAGCACAUUGCAAAUUCUGUCUUUCAGAAAUUAACUGUUGAAUUUUAAGUACAUGUUUACAUUUUUGUAGAAAAUAUUAUUUUUUUCAGGUAUUGUAGAUCUCAGAACUAGUGAUGAGUAAUUCUCAGAGGGUUUUUUAAAUAUGUGAAUAUACAAGAUUUUUUAAUCUUAAAAAAUAUUCUCAUUUUUAAUAUCUUAUCCCUAACCUGAAGUAGUCACUAUGUCUGUCACCCCUUUAAAUCUCCUUUUGAGUCAGGUGCCCUUAAGCCAGGAAUGGAUUUUUUAAGACUAUAUAUGCAAUUGAGCUAAAAAGAGACUGGCUUUUUCUUUGUAGUUUCCCUUGCCUAAAAUAGCUUUAAAUUAAUUUUACAUUUUAUAAUGGCAUCUUUGGUCCUGAACCUAGGUAGAAACAAAUUGUAAAAAAACACUUGAGGUUGCAGAAAUUGUUAAAACAAGAUCUGAUCUGCUUCCCCUUAUGUAUCACCAGUGUUCAGAAUGGAACUGGAACAUAAUCCCCUUAUUAUCAUUGUCAUGCAAUAAUUUCCUAGAGGUGUCUCAGGUGUUUUUACAGAAGUUGUUGCCAGUUGAUUCAGAGUGAUGUUGGACAGUAUGAGACAAUGUACCCAUGACUCUUUAUUAAGAUGUAAUUACAAAGGAAAAGCCUGAUUCAUCCUCUGGUGCAGACAGGAACAGUUCAGGAACAGGCAGAAAUGAGGAGUGAAAAAAACAGACUGGUGGGAACUUACAAAGGACAGAAGAAACCCCCAAAACUGAACUGUAGUGACUUCUCUUCAUCCUACCAGCCCUCUAUCAAAAAAAUCUGAAUGUAAGAGCAAAAGGUCCUCUCUUCAACUCCCAUUCCCAUCAAGAAAAUGUUACCACUUUCAGGAAAGCACAAAUUCAUCCCAAAAGUUCCUGCCUAAGUGCAAAAGUUGGAAUAUGUGCCGGGAGCUGUAAUUUGUUCAUCACAGCCCAGUUCCCUUCCAUAAAUCAGGAUCUGCAACUGGAUUAUAUCAGCCAUAAAGCCAUUUGCCAGAGGUUCCAGGGUGAAUCUCUCGCCCCUCAUCCUCAGUGGUGACCUUGCCAAGAGCACUCUGGUGGUAAAUAAACACAGAAUAUGGGUUGUUCAGCUGAUUGUCCAGCUUUUUGCUGAAAGGCAGGUACAAAUGUCAAGGCUGGACUUUCUGGAGAGAGGGAGGACAGCACAAGAAGACAGAGGUAAGCGUUCAGUGUAUUUUCACAGUAGUCAGGGAAGAGAAUGAAGAAAGAAAGAUUUAGAAAGCAAAAAAUCCCACUUGUUGUCUUCUCUGAGAACAGAGAAACACAUUUAAAAUGGGUUUUUGAGUGUUCACCAUGAUGUUGCCUGUACUGCUUGUUAGACUUACCGGGCUUCUCACAUUCCCUAUAUGAUCAUCCAAAGAUUGUGGCAGUAACAAUCUGUUUCAAACAUGUCCUAAAACUGCAUUUUUAUUUGCCUGUCUGAGAAGCUGCUUUGCCUCUGCCUGUUCCCACUGGGGUGCAGACCAGACCUGCACAGCAGCAUGAGAAAUGAGAGCUGGGGUUGAAGCCCAGGUCUCAAGGCCAAAGUUGGUCUAUACAAAGAGCCUACAAGAAGAUCAGUCAUGGCUGGCCUCUUCAUUAAACCCCACAGAACAGCAACCAAUACAAAACCCAACCAAUUAUCACGUACUGGGAAAUUCGAAAUGUGUCUCCCCAGUGCUGACAUGACAGGUGUUCAUUCCUGUGGUCAGAAUGAUUCAAAGAAGGCUGAUUGCAGUCCAAAGUGAGGCACUAAACAAGCAGCUAAUCAUGACCAGCAGUAAUGUGCAGAACCCUGGUGACAAAGGAAGCCCUGAGGAAUAAAAAGUCUAGGACAAGGUGGCAUGUCAUCCAGGACAGUGCAGACUGCUAUGACUCCAGUGACACAUCUCCCUGUCCCAGCAGUGACUGAAAAGACAAGCCAUUCUCCUCCCAGCAGUUCAGUGUGUCUCAGCCAGGGGAGCCACAAGCCAGGAAAGCCAUCCUCUGCAGGAAGAGUGUCUGUCUGGUCUCAGCAGGUCCCCUGCCAUCUCUCUGAGCGUAUUUUAAAAGACCUUUGAGAGCAGAUCACUGAAUGAGUUGGAUGGAGGCCACCUCUUGUCUCUGAGGCAGAUGGAUGGAUGGGAGGAAAUGCAUUUAAGACAAGUUUCCUGUGUCUCCAUUCAGGAGGGAGGAAAGAGGCCCCCAGUGGACCCAGCUUUCAACCCCUGAAGCAUACUUUUGCCUCAGCAGGACAAUGCUGAGCAUGAAUCAGGAAGGCCAAGUCUCAGGUCUCUUCAGCUGACCUUCUGAUCCUGCUUCUUUGGAAAAGCAGCCCAUCCUGCAGCUAGCACAACCAGCCAUCCACCCUGAGGAGCCAAAGUUCAUCAGAGUCUCUGGUGCCACUUCCCUGUUUCCAGAAGAAUCACUGCAACCCCUGUUUGUGUUCAACCUCUUCAUCUCACAGACUCGAGCCACACAUGGAACAAGGUGGGCCACUGUCAGCUGCUGCAGAGCCAAGCAUGGAGAGUAAGCAGUUACACAUGUUUUCCUUCAGGCUUUCUCAACAACUUUCAGUGGCCCUUGAAAGAGUUAUCGAUUUGUGUGAGUCAGGAGGCAGCAGGAUGGGACUGGUCCCUGCCCACAGGCAGCUCGGGCACAGCUGUGUCACAGAGGGGUCACUCCUGAGCACAGCAACCACUGAGGUCACAUGCUGAGAGUUUUGUUUAUAAAGUGAAUUCCGUAGGUACAAGUCAUCAUCAGAAGAAAAAGCCCCAUGGACAAUAUUAUAUAAUCCAGACAAAUAUACUAAUAGGGGAUUUUCCAAUGGAAGAAAACUUACAUCAUGCCUGAGGAAGUAAAAAUAAACCUGGCACUUGUAUUUGUUCUAAACACAAGAAGAGCCUUGAUGAACUACUAGUUACAUUUCUUAGUCAUGGUGAGCAUUGUGAUGUUGGUUUUAAACUUAUUCCAUAACUGCAUCCUAACCUCAAUAAUAAAAUACACUAGACUUUCAAAAUCAGUUUCUUUCUAAGGCUCACUGUUUCCAGAGAACGGUACACUUUCCUAAUUAUUGCUGAUGUUUUAGCCAUUAUUGAACCUCCUAUGACCUUAUUCAGUGAAGAAAAUAGCGCUGGGAUUUGAAAAUGAACAAGUUACUUGUGAAGUAAAAUAAAUCAAAAAGUAAGGUUUAUAUAGCAACCUCCCCGAAUGCCAGAUACAUUUAAAAAGAUUUCUCAUCAUUGGAAAAACAAUUACUUUCACUGUAUUUUACAUCUGAAGAUCACAAUUGAGAGAAGAUGUGCUUUGUUGUCAAUAGCCUGUUCUAUUUAAACGGUGCACUAAGAGGAAAAGUUAUGCACCAUGUUUAUGGCAGAUUCAAAAAAAUGAAAGAGGAAAUGUGUAAAAGGAUAUGAAGUGUGGCUCAAAAGACACACUAUGGCCUUAAGAACAAAGCAAAUACAUAAGAUGCAAAACUAAGUCUGUAAUCUGUAAACAAAGCCUUUCUUUUUGAGGAAAAACCAGAAGAUCUGUAUCACCAUUUUGUGUUUCAUUCAAUAAAAAUGAAAUAUUCAAGCAGA